rnacentral:rRNA from 1 species
UACGUAGGCAGCGAGCGUUGUUCGGAGUUACUGGGCGUAAAGAGUGCGUAGGCGGUUUUCUAAGUUUGGUGUGAAAUCUCCCGGCUUAACUGGGAGGGUGCGCCGAAGACUGGAAGGCUUGAGUAUGGGAGAGGUAAGCGGAAUUCCUGGUGUAGCGGUGAAAUGCGUAGAUAUCGAGAGGAACACCUGCGGCGAAGGCGGGUUGCUGGGCUGACACUGACGCUGAGGCGCGAAAGCUAGGGGAGCGAACGGG